UACGGAGGGUGCAAGCGUUGUCCGGAAUCACUGGGCGUAAAGGGCGCGUAGGCGGGCUCAAAAGUCAGGGGUGAAAUCCCACGGCUCAACCGUGGAAGUGCCUUUGAUACUGUGAGUCUCGAGGGAGGUAGGGGCGUGCGGAACUUCCGGUGGAGCGGUGAAAUGCGUAGAUAUCGGAAGGAACACCGGUGGCGAAAGCGGCGCGCUGGACCUCUUCUGACGCUGAGGCGCGAAAGCCAGGGGAGCAAACGGGG
rnacentral:rRNA from 1 species